rnacentral:rRNA from 1 species
UGAAGACGACGAGGUUGAUAGGUUCGGGGUGGAAGCACAGCAAUGUGUGGAGCUGACGAAUACUAAUCGGUCGAGGGCUUAUCCUAA